GGCUCAGGACGAACGCUGGCGGCACGCUUAACACAUGCAAGUCGAACGAGAGAAGAGAAGCUUGCUUUUCUGAUCUAGUGGCGGACGGGUGAGUAACACGUGAGCAAUCUGCCUUUCAGAGGGGGAUACCGAUUGGAAACGAUCGUUAAUACCGCAUAACAUAAUUGAACCGCAUGAUUUGAUUAUCAAAGAUUUAUCGCUGAAAGAUGAGCUCGCGUCUGAUUAGCUAGUUGGUAAGGUAACGGCUUACCAAGGCGACGAUCAGUAGCCGGACUGAGAGGUUGAUCGGCCACAUUGGGACUGAGACACGGCCCAGACUCCUACGGGAGGCAGCAGUGGGGAAUAUUGCACAAUGGAGGAAACUCUGAUGCAGCGAUGCCGCGUGAGGGAAGAAGGUUUUAGGAUUGUAAACCUCUGUCUUCAGGGACGAAAAAUGACGGUACCUGAGGAGGAAGCUCCGGCUAACUACGUGCCAGCAGCCGCGGUAAUACGUAGGGAGCGAGCGUUGUCCGGAAUUACUGGGUGUAAAGGGAGCGUAGGCGGGAUCGCAAGUCAGAUGUGAAAACUAUGGGCUUAACCCAUAAACUGCAUUUGAAACUGUGGUUCUUGAGUGAAGUAGAGGUAAGCGGAAUUCCUAGUGUAGCGGUGAAAUGCGUAGAUAUUAGGAGGAACAUCAGUGGCGAAGGCGGCUUACUGGGCUUUAACUGACGCUGAGGCUCGAAAGCGUGGGGAGCAAACAGGAUUAGAUACCCUGGUAGUCCACGCCGUAAACGAUGAUUACUAGGUGUGGGGGGACUGACCCCUUCCGUGCCGCAGCAAACGCAAUAAGUAAUCCACCUGGGGAGUACGACCGCAAGGUUGAAACUCAAAGGAAUUGACGGGGGCCCGCACAAGCAGUGGAGUAUGUGGAUUAAUUCGAAGCAACGCGAAGAACCUUACCAGGUCUUGACAUCGUAUGCAUAGCUCAGAGAUGAGUGAAAUCUCUUCGGAGACAUAUAGACAGGUGGUGCAUGGUUGUCGUCAGCUCGUGUCGUGAGAUGUUGGGUUAAGUCCCGCAACGAGCGCAACCCUUACUGUUAGUUGCUACGCAAGAGCACUCUAGCAGGACUGCCGUUGACAAAACGGAGGAAGGUGGGGAUGACGUCAAAUCAUCAUGCCCCUUAUGACCUGGGCCUCACACGUACUACAAUGGCUGUUAACAGAGGGAUGCAAAGCCGCGAGGUGGAGCGAACCCCUAAAAGCAGUCUUAGUUCGGAUUGUAGGCUGCAACCCGCCUACAUGAAGUCGGAAUUGCUAGUAAUCGCAGAUCAGCAUGCUGCGGUGAAUACGUUCCCGGGCCUUGUACACACCGCC
rnacentral:rRNA from 1 species